UACGUAGGUGGCAAGCGUUGUCCGGAAUUAUUGGGCGUAAAGCGCGCGCAGGCGGCCUUUUAAGUCUGAUGUGAAAGCCCACGGCUCAACCGUGGAAGGUCAUUGGAAACUGAAAGGCUUGAGUACAGAAGAGGAAAGCGGAAUUCCACGUGUAGCGGUGAAAUGCGUAGAGAUGUGGAGGAACACCAGUGGCGAAGGCGGCUUUCUGGUCUGUAACUGACGCUGAGGCGCGAAAGCGUAGGGAGCAAACAGG
rnacentral:rRNA from 1 species